rnacentral:misc_RNA from 1 species
GAAACGCGAUAGUUAAUGUGAAUUGCAGAAUUCAGUGAAUCAUCGAGUCUUUGAACGCACAUUGCGCCCAUAGGUAUUCCUUUGGGCAUGUCUGUUUGAGCGUCAUUACAACCCUCAGCUAACCGCUGGUUUUGAACCUGAACGGGUGACUCCGCGCCGGUUUUAAAGUUGUAAGCUCUGCUGGCCGCUCUGCCCAACCAGAACAUAGUAAGCACUACUUGUCCGGGUGAAGCUGAACGGUACGGCCUGAACAAAACCUACCCACUCUCAAGGUUUGACCUCAGAUCAGACAAGGAUACCCGCUGAACUUAAGC